AGAGUUUGAUCCUGGCUCAGGAUGAACGCUAGCGGCAGGCUUAACACAUGCAAGUCGAGGGGCAGCGUAAUGAAGUAGCAAUACGGAAUUGACGGCGACCGGCGCACGGGUGCGUAACGCGUAUGUAACCUACCUUUAACAGGGGGAUAACACUGAGAAAUUGGUACUAAUACCCCAUAAUACUUAGAAGGGCAUCCUUUUGAGUUGAAAGUUCCGGCGGUUAGAGAUGGACAUGCGUUGUAUUAGCUAGAUGGUGAGGUAAUGGCUCACCAUGGCGACGAUGUCUAGGGGAACUGAGAGGUCGAUCCCCCACACUGGUACUGAGACACGGACCAGACUCCUACGGGAGGCAGCAGUGAGGAAUAUUGGUCAAUGGAGGAAACUCUGAACCAGCCAUCUCGCGUGAAGGACUACGGCCCUACGGGUCUUAAACUUCUUUUAUAGGGGGAUAAAGUCGCAUACGUGUAUGUGAUUGCAGGUACCCUAUGAAUAAGCAUCGGCUAACUCCGUGCCAGCAGCCGCGGUAAUACGGAGGAUGCGAGCGUUAUCCGGAUUUAUUGGGUUUAAAGGGUGCGCAGGCGGCGCGUUAAGUCAGCGGUGAAAUGUCGGGGCUCAACCCCGGCACUGCCGUUGAAACUGGCGUGCUCGAGUACGGAUGAAGCGGGCGGAAUGUGAUGUGUAGCGGUGAAAUGCUUAGAUAUGUCACAGAACACCGAUUGCGAAGGCAGCUCGCUAAUCCGCAACUGACGCUCAUGCACGAAAGCGUGGGGAUUGAACAGGAUUAGAUACCCUGGUAGUCCACGCAGUAAACGAUGAAGGCUAGCUAUUGGCGAUAUACAGUCAGUGGCCGAGGGAAACCGAUAAGCCUUCCACCUGGGGAGUACGCCGGCAACGGUGAAACUCAAAGGAAUUGACGGGGGCCCGCACAAGCGGAGGAACAUGUGGUUUAAUUCGAAGCAACGCGAAGAACCUUACCUGGUCUUGACAUCCCGAUGACCGCUCUGUAAUGAGAGCUUUUCUUCGGAACAUUGGAGACAGGUGGUGCAUGGUUGUCGUCAGCUCGUGUCGUGAGAUGUUGGGUUAAGUCCCGCAACGAGCGCAACCCCUAUUGUUAGUUGCUACGCAAGAGCACUCUAGCGAGACUGCCGUUGACAAAACGGAGGAAGGCGGGGACGACGUCAAAUCAUCAUGCCCCUUAUGUCCUGGGCUACACACGUAAUACAAUGGUGGUUAACAGAGGGAAGCAAUACUGCGAAGUGGAGCAAAUCCCUAAAAGCCAUCUCAGUUCGGAUUGCAGGCUGCAACUCGCCUGCAUGAAGCUGGAAUUGCUAGUAAUCGCGGAUCAGCAUGCCGCGGUGAAUACGUUCCCGGGCCUUGCACACACCGCCCGUCAAG
rnacentral:rRNA from 1 species